rfam:Pteropus alecto contig57345, whole genome shotgun sequence.
GUCUACAGCCAUACCACCCUGAACAAGCCAGAUCCAGUCUGAUCUCGGAAGCUAAGCAGGGUCAGGCCUGGUUAGUACUUGGAUGGGAGACCACCUAGGAAGACCAGGUGCUGUAGGUG